UACAGAGGGUGCGAGCGUUAAUCGGAAUUACUGGGCGUAAAGCGCGCGUAGGCGGCUUUGCAAGUCGGGUGUGAAAUCCCCAGGCUUAACCUGGGAACUGCAUUCGAGACUGCAUUGCUAGAGUAUGGGAGAGGGAAGUGGAAUUUCCGGUGUAGCGGUGAAAUGCGUAGAUAUCGGAAGGAACAUCAGUGGCGAAGGCGACUCCUGGACCAAUACUGACGCUCAUGUGCGAAAGCGUGGGGGGAGCAAACAGG
rnacentral:rRNA from 1 species